UGGCUCAGAUGGUAGAUCGUCUGUCUGCAAUGCAGGAGACCCAGGUUCGAUCCCUGG
rnacentral:tRNA from 1 species